rnacentral:tRNA from 1 species
UGCAUCGGCCGGGAAUCGAACCCGGGCCGCCGGCGUGGCAGGCGAACAUUCUCGCCCCUGAACAACCGAUGC